GGUUUUCAAAACCGCUCUCUUUUAGCCCACGGAUAGGAAAAAACGGCAGCCUUCCUGGUCAUGUUCAUCUCCUCUUCCUCCCCCACAUCCCCCAAAAGGGGCAGAUGCUACAACCUACAAGUUUUCUGUCUGUCUGCUGCACCAGCAUAUCUUGAUGUCUAUCUAUCUGCCAUCAAAAGUCUCCAUUUAAUCCUGCCACCACUCUGUGUAUGUGCUGCUGGCGCCUUGACAGAGACAACGCUUAAUUUCUUUCUUGCUUCUUCUACAACUCCAUUUAGUUUGGUUGAUCUUUCUUUGGUUUUUCCUUCUCCUGGUCCGGUCAAAUUUGACCAAAGCCCCCCAUGAUGUCCUUCUCCGAAUCCUACAUACCUUUCGGAAGUUCCUAGGCGCCAUUCCCCAUUUGUGUUGGUUCCAACUUCCAAGAACUGCUUCGAUACAAGUAUACGAGAUCAGAGUUGGAGAGCCCGCAACACCAAUCUUCGUCGGAAACAUUUCGCAAUCUUCAGAAACCAAGAUCAGGUUUCAGUCUUCUGAAGAAACAUAGAUUCCACAAGCCAUCUUGGAAUCUUCAGAGUUGCUGUCAUGGCAAUGGAGACCCAGCUCGCCAGAGACGAAGCAAGGCAGAGGAGAACAAUAAGCCGGAAGGAACAAGACCAGAAGAAUGCGUCGUCGUCUAGCUACUUCAGCACGGAGGCGUUUCUGAUGCUGGCCUGCGUGGCCGUGACGCUGUUGGUGCUGCCGUUGCUCCUGCCGCCGCUGCCGCCGCCGCCGGCCUUGCUGCUGCUGGUGCCCGUGUGCAUGCUUGUGCUCCUCGUCGUGCUCGCCUUCAUGCCGUCGGAUGUCAGGACCAUGGCCUCCUCCUACCUGUAGAGCUUGUAGAUACAGAGUGGUAGUAUAAAGAAGCAAAAAAAAAUUCAUUUUAUGAACUUUUUGGUUUUUGUUUUCGGCUUUGUUGGUGUAUCACGUUAAUGUGUGCAAGAAGAGUUUUGUUUUUUCCGGCAUAUUAAUGUAUAGAUAUAUCAGAAGGUCAUAUGGCAUUUUAUCUUAUUUGCAUUU